UUAAAGGGGGAUAUGAAAAAUACGAAAAAUGGAAAAGAAGUAUUCAUUGCAAUGGACGCCGUCUUCAAGAUCGGAUAAAGGCAUGCUGGUGGUAGAUAGCUCCGUGUUUCCUGGGAAGGACAUCUACCAAGCAGACCCACCUAGGAUAAGGGGACAGAGGGAAAACCCAACAAGCCCAGAGUGAACAAAGAAAUACAUAACUGCCCUGUGACCUUCUGCCAUGAUGUCUGAGGCCCUCAUCUGA